GGAUUGCAGGCUGNAACCCGCCUGCAUGAAGUUGGAAUCGCUAGUAAUCGCGGAUCAGCAUGCCGCGGUGAAUACGUUCCCGGGCCUUGUACACACCGCCCGUCACACCAUGAGAGUCGGGAACACCCGAAGUCCGUAGCCUAACCGCAAGGAGGGCGCGGCCGAAGGUGGGUUCGAUAAUUGGGGUGAAGUCGUAACAAGGUAAC
rnacentral:rRNA from 1 species